AUGAAACUUCAAAGUCGGCUUGGUUGUCUGUGCUGGUGGAGACACAUGUGCACGUCGACAAAGUCGCAAACCCCACACACCUGUGCAUCUAUGACUCUGAGUACCGCUUGCAUGGGCCGUCAAACGCCCUGGUACUCGAGUAACUUUCACACACUCUGAAUGUAAUGGAAUGUCUAUUGUACAAUGUACAACCAAAAACAACUUUCAACAACGGAUCUCUUGGCUCUCGCAUCGAUGAAGAACGCAGCGAAAUGCGAUAAGUAAUGUGAAUUGCAGAAUUCAGUGAAUCAUCGAAUCUUUGAACGCACCUUGCACCCUUUGGUAUUCCGAAGGGUACACCCGUUUGAGUGUCAUUGUAAUCUCACUACAACCGCUUUUUUGUGGUUGCAUGUGGACUUGGAUGUUGCUGUGUCACAAACAGCUCGUCUGAAAUGCCUGAGUGUACCCCUGCUUUGCGGCGUAUUCGGUGUGAUAAAUCUUCACCGGAGUUGACCCUCAGGGUCACGUCUGCUUGACAUGGCUCUAUGCUUCCAACUGUCCAGACAAGACAAUCUUUGACAA
rnacentral:misc_RNA from 1 species